rnacentral:rRNA from 1 species
UACAGAGACUGCAAGCGUUAUUCGGAUUCACUGGGCGUAAAGGGUGCGCAGGCGGUCGUGUGUGUCAGAUGUGAAAUCCCGGAGCUUAACUCCGGAACUGCGUCUGAAACUACAUGACUAGAGCAUUGGAGAGGGAAGUGGAAUUCAUGGUGUAGCAGUGAAAUGCGUAGAUAUCAUGAGGAACACCAGAGGCGAAGGCGAGUCUCUGGACAGUUACUGACACUGAGGCACGAAGGCCAGGGGAGCAAACGGG